CGCGGUUUGAUGUUUUCACUCGAACAUUCAGUUGGGAAACUGAUACCAGGAGGUUAAAUGCCUGGCAUUUUGUUGUAUCAGCAUUUCAUACCUGGUUCCAGGGCGACGAUUGCAUGGUUUUUACUCUCUCCCUAAUUCCAAACCUGCCUGCAAGCUGGUUCAUCAGAACAGCGCUCUCACGAACGGUCGACCAUCCCAGUCAAGGUUGUCAGGAGCCGCUUCCCCAGCACAAAAUGGCCCAGCAAGAAUGAUCAGCACAUCAACAGUCCAAACACCUGAGAACAAUUUACUGUACAUCACAACUUUGUUGUGUAUUCCCAAUGAAUGCUUCUGACCAAAGGUGCACUGAAAACAAAAUGAAUUUUUUGGAAUUUUGGCAUUUUCGUGUUUUAAUAAACUGAAAAGCUCGAAGCAGCACCACAACCAUUAAGCAGAAAAAAUACUGUAACAAUGUCAAAGUUACAUGGUUCUGGGACCAAUUAUUUUGAGAGGGCAGCAGCUUAUUUAUAGUGAGUUCUAUCUAGUGACAGCAAAGUGACUUAGUAACCCUGUUCUUUUGGAUAGUAUUUAAAGGAAGCAAAGGAAAUAUUGCAAAAAUGAUGUUUUAUACAGCUUCUCUAUUAGUAUGGGAGCAUUAUGAAAAUAAUUCUUAAAAUGUGUCUACGUCAUAUAUUGAGUGUACUACAAACAUUUUCAACAAAUGAUAAUCUAAUCUGCAUAUUUGGGCUGGCACUUUAUGACAUAUAUUUUGUUUAAAAUACCAUUCAUGAUAUAUUUUCAUGAAUGAACAAAAUGACAAAAUAAUUUUCUUAUUAUUUGAGUCUUUUUUUAUAAAAUGAGGUUUUGAAACUGAUACACUUUGAUCAACUCAGUUUCAGAAAGUUCAGAAAAUCUUCUGCUGGGGAACAUUAAAGUUACGUAUCAGUUUUGCUCCUCUACACAAUACACAGAAAAGCUAAAACCCACUAAAAGGCAGUGUUAAAUUUUAAAGAAUCACAUUCUUCAUGCUACAGGAUUAGAGACUGCAUUUUCUCAUUAGAAAGUCAUAUUCUGAUUAACUAACCAGACAAGACAUACCUUCCUCGUAUUUUGUGUCAAAAUGCUACAAACUGAAGCUUGUUUGUAUGAUAAAGGUUGAUGGUGAGAGGAAUAAUUGUUGCAUUAACGUAAAUUAUCAAGUAGAAAAAAAGGGGAAAAUUAUGAUCAUGUCAGAUUCUGUAUUAAAUUCCUUUGACAAAUUCCAAAGGGACUGUCCUUGUAAUGUAAAACGUGAUGAAAUAUUAUGUAUACAUGAAUGUCAGCCAUCUUGUAUAUAGAAGAAACAAUAACAUUAAAUGAUGGCUAACUUUUCUUGAUGUGGUUAAGCUGAUAAAUCUCUUGCUUCUAAAUCAGGAGGUUGGGGGUUCAAAUCUCAAACCAAGACUGAGCACUAAACUCUAGUUUGACAGUCUAAAAUGAGGGGGUGCUACAUGGUCAGAGAAAUUGUCUGUUGGAUAAGAUA